rnacentral:hammerhead_ribozyme from 1 species
AUCCAGCUGACGGGUGAAAAUAGGACGAAACGCGCGUCUUGGAU